rnacentral:misc_RNA from 1 species
UGGCUCUCGCAUCGAUGAAGAACGCAGCGAAAUGCGAUAAGUAAUGUGAAUUGCAGAAUUCAGUGAAUCAUCGAAUCUUUGAACGCACCUUGCACCUCGUGGCUUACCACGGGGUACGCCCGUUCGAGCGUCACGUUCCAUCGCCUCUGGCGGAACUGGAUGUUGCCGUAGAGGCUCGUCCGAAAUAUAUUAGCGAGGGUUGUGCUUCGACCGGUGUGAUAACGUUGCGCCCUAAGAAGUGUGCCCUGCUCCGAAUCGCGCAGCGUCUGCGCAAUGUUGCUUUUGACCUCGAAUCGGGCGGGACUACCCGCUGA